GAUGAACGCUGGCGGCAUGCUUGACACAUGCAAGUCGAACGAGGCCCAUCCUUGGGUGGGUUUAGUGGCGGACGGGUGAGUAACGCGUAAGAAUCUGCCCUUAGGAGAGGGAUACCGGCUGGAAACGGUCGUUAAUACCUCGUGUGCUGAGGAGCAAAAGGGGUAACACCCGCCUAUGGAUGAGCUUGCGUCUGAUUAGCUAGUUGGUAGGGCAAUGGCCUACCAAGGCAAUGAUCAGUAGCUGGUCUGAGAGGACAAUCAGCCACACUGGGACUGA
rnacentral:rRNA from 1 species